GAUGAACGCUGGCGGCGUGCCUAAUACAUGCAAGUCGAGCGAACAGAUGAGGAGCUUGCUCCUCUGACGUUAGCGGCGGACGGGUGAGUAACACGUGGAUAACCUACCUAUAAGACUGGGAUAACUUCGGGAAACCGGAGCUAAUACCGGAUAAUAUAUUGAACCGCAUGGUUCAAUAGUGAAAGACGGUUUUGCUGUCACUUAUAGAUGGAUCCGCGCCGCAUUAGCUAGUUGGUAAGGUAACGGCUUACCAAGGCAACGAUGCGUAGCCGACCUGAGAGGGUGAUCGGCCACACUGGAACUGAGACACGGUCCAGACUCCUACGGGAGGCAGCAGUAGGGAAUCUUCCGCAAUGGGCGAAAGCCUGACGGAGCAACGCCGCGUGAGUGAUGAAGGUCUUCGGAUCGUAAAACUCUGUUAUUAGGGAAGAACAAAUGUGUAAGUAACUAUGCACGUCUUGACGGUACCUAAUAGAAAGCCACGGCUAACUACGUG
rnacentral:rRNA from 1 species